UACGAAGGGGGCUAGCGUUGUUCGGAAUUACUGGGCGUAAAGCGCACGUAGGCGGAUAUUUAAGUCAGGGGUGAAAUCCCAGAGCUCAACUCUGGAACUGCCUUUGAUACUGGGUAUCUCGAGUAUGGAAGAGGUGAGUGGAAUUCCGAGUGUAGAGGUGAAAUUCGUAGAUAUUCGGAGGAACACCAGUGGCGAAGGCGGCUCACUGGCCCGGUACUGACGCUGAGUGAGCGAAAGCCAGGGGAGCAAACGGG
rnacentral:rRNA from 1 species